UCUGGGUGGGAGGGACCAUUUGUUGGUGGGGGCCUGGGAAGAGAGCAGGAGACUCAAACAAACUCACCAUGACUGGCCAUGAUCCUACCUGUUCCUGAGCUGGGAUUUCAGAGCAAGUCUGGUGAUAUGCUGAAAACCGCUGCACCUGGCACCAAGCGAGCAGUCCCAUGCUGAGCAGCUGAAAUAUGGACUGAAUCAUACAGCUGAGCUACAAGGAAAUGGUUGGAGAGAACUUCAUUUUAACAUCAAUGAUAACUUUAUAAAUAGUUAUUUUUACGGACCACUCAAUCUCUGCUGAGACCGUUAUGAUCAUCAAGCCCAUGACUUCUUUUCAAGCUAUAGUCUAUCUUUUAGAAAGAGAUGCAGUCUUGAUUUAAAGACUUCAAGUGAUGGAGAAUCCACUACAAUCUUGGGUCACAGUGGAAGAAGUGAGUCCUUAGGAGGGAACUGAAUGAGGAGAGGAUAGCAAUUGGCCUGGAGUUGGGGCAUUCCAUGAAGAGGAGCAGCAGGCAAGAAGAUCCAGAGAUGCUGAGGGUAAAGCAGCUGAAUGGGGGCACUUUUUUUGGUCUGUAUUUCUAUCUUUAUAAAAUAACACAAACAUACCAGGCAUAUCUUACAGUUUGUGGGUGCUGAAUGCAUGGACUUUAAACUCUCUCUGAAUUAUGAUGAAUGGAAGGCCUAGUGAUCUGCAUUUGGGACAGUCGUUUCUCCUAUGCUUAGCUGUGGGACUUGGAUUUCUCACACAAUCUUGAUGUUGGACACAGCCCUUUCACGGUUUCUAUUGGACCAAUUUUGCACAUGGGUACCCCUGCUGAGCCACUACAAAUGGCUAACUCCCACCCUUGUGAAAAUGGCGAUCUCAUCUUAAUACGGAGAUUUUCCAUGAACAACUUCCUCUCCCUUUCACAAUCACAUGCUGUGUCAACUGCAACAGUUACUCAUACGGAAGAACAAAAUUAGGAAGGUAUUUAGUGUACUUUUAGCUUCUAUCAAUGGAAUUUAGCAGCUGGAAACAAGGAGGGAGUCAGCACCACCGGACCUGUCAGCUUUCUGCAGCCCACCAGCUACAGCCUUGAGGACCAGAGUCUGGGAAAUCGUUUUAACUCAUCUAACCUACAACUACUGUGCUCUCUGUAUCCGACAGAGGCCCCCCUCUGACAAAGACAGAAGAAAGCUGUCUUUCA